UCUUCGGAUGUCAGUGGCAGACGGGUGAGUAACACGUGGGAACGUACCCUUCGGUUCGGAAUAACUCAGGGAAACUUGAGCUAAUACCGGAUACGCCCUUUUGGGGAAAGGUUUACUGCCGAAGGAUCGGCCCGCGUCUGAUUAGCUAGUUGGUGGGGUAACGGCCUACCAAGGCGACGAUCAGUAGCUGGUCUGAGAGGAUGAUCAGCCACACUGGGACUGAGACACGGCCCAGACUCCUACGGGAGGCAGCAGUGGGGAAUAUUGGACAAUGGGCGCAAGCCUGAUCCAGCCAUGCCGCGUGUGUGAUGAAGGCCUUAGGGUUGUAAAGCACUUUUGUCCGGGACGAUAAUGACGGUACCGGAAGAAUAAGCCCCGGCUAACUUCGUGCCAGCAGCCGCGGUAAUACGAAGGGGGCUAGCGUUGCUCGGAAUCACUGGGCGUAAAGGGCGCGUAGGCGGCCGUUUAAGUCGGGGGUGAAAGCCUGUGGCUCAACCACAGAAUUGCCUUCGAUACUGGACGGCUUGAGUAUGGUAGAGGUUGGUGGAACUGCGAGUGUAGAGGUGAAAUUCGUAGAUAUUCGCAAGAACACCGGUGGCGAA
rnacentral:rRNA from 1 species